rnacentral:rRNA from 1 species
GACGAACGCUGGCGGCGUGCUUAACACAUGCAAGUCGAACGGAAAGGCCCUGCUUGCAGGGUACUCGAGUGGCGAACGGGUGAGUAACACGUGGGUGAUCUGCCCUGCACUUCGGGAUAAGCCUGGGAAACUGGGUCUAAUACCGGAUAGGAGCCAUUUUUAGUGUGAUGGUUGGAAAGUUUUUUCGGUGUAGGAUGAGCUCGCGGCCUAUCAGCUUGUUGGUGGGGUAAUGGCCUACCAAGGCGGCGACGGGUAGCCGGCCUGAGAGGGUGGACGGCCACAUUGGGACUGAGAUACGGCCCAGACUCCUACGGGAGGCAGCAGUGGGGAAUAUUGCACAAUGGGCGCAAGCCUGAUGCAGCGACGCCGCGUGGGGGAUGACGGCCUUCGGGUUGUAAACUCCUUUCGCUAGGGACGAAGCUUUUGUGACGGUACUUAGAUAAGAAGCACCGGCUAACUACGUG